CCUACGGGCGGCAGCAGUGGGGAAUAUUGGACAAUGGGCGAAAGCCUGAUCCAGCCAUGCCGCGUGUGUGAAGAAGGCCUUCGGGUUGUAAAGCACUUUCAGUGGGGAAGAAAGCCUUGGGGCUAAUACCCUCGAGGAAGGACAUCACCCACAGAAGAAGCACCGGCUAACUCCGUGCCAGCAGCCGCGGUAUACGGAGGGUGCGAGCGGUAAUCGGAAUGACUGGGCGUAAAGCGCGCGUAGGCGGUCUGAUAAGCCGGUUGUGAAAGCCCCGGGCUCAACCUGGGAACGGCAUCCGGAACUGUCAGGCUAGAGUGCAGGAGAGGAAGGUAGAAUUCCCGGUGUAGCGGUGAAAUGCGUAGAGAUCGGGAGGAAUACCAGUGGCGAAGGCGGCCUUCUGGACUGACACUGACGCUGAGGUGCGAAAGCGUGGGUAGCAAACAGGAUUAGAUACCCUAGUAGUC
rnacentral:rRNA from 1 species